AGAGAGGGAGGGCGAAUACUAGCAAGGGAAAUUGAAAAGGGUCUGCCUUCAGGGUAGGAAGGAACCAGGAGAGUGUGGUCUUUAGAAGCCAAAGUAGUUUGUAAUCAAUUGAAUUAAAUGCUACUGUCAAGUAUAUUAAGUCAAAUUUAUAGCUACUGUUGGAUUUAGCCAUUCAGCAGUGAUUGGUGACUUUGAGGAGAGCAAUUUUGGUGGAGGGGUGUGGACAAAAGCCUGAUUGGAAUGGUUUCAAGAGAGAAUGGAAGGAGAGAAAAAGAGCAGCAAAUAUGGACAUUAAGGAAAACUUUAUGCACUAAAAAAGAUUAGCAGUAUGUAAUGCCUUUGGAAUAACACGAGACACUUAUUGAGCCCUAACUGUGUGACAGAUGCUGUUUUCGGUACUUGUAUUAACUUUUUUUUUUUUUUUGUCUUUUUUUUUUUUAUGGCCGCACCCGUGGCAUAUGUAGGUUCCCAGGCUGGGGGUCUCAUAGGAGCUGUAGCUGCCGGCCUACACCAGAGCCACAGCAAUGCCAGAUCCGAACCUUGUCUGCGACCUACACCAUAGCUCACGGCAACGCUGGAUCCCCAACCCACUGGGCGAGGCCAGGGAUGGAACCUGCAACCUCAUGGUCCUAGUCGGAUUCAUUUCUGCUGAGCCACAACUGGAACUCCAUACUUUGCAAGACCACACACACUAAAACCAUCUAAAGCGAUCUUGCAAAUCAGUGGGAAAAAUUACAGUGUUCUGUGACCUGUAAAAUUUGUUGUCAAAACAUUCAACAUUUUAAGUAGGUUGGUUAUUAAUGUGUUGGGAGGUGAAAAAAAUAAGUGAAACUCAAAUUUAUAGCACAUGCGAUUUAAAACAUUAGAAAUAUUAAAAAUCGAAAAAGUGUUUUGUUCAGCUGCAACACCAAGAUUAGUUUGAAGAGUGCUUGCCUUUGUGGAUCAGCUUCCAGCAUUUUAGCCUUUCCUCUUUAGUGUUGUGAAAUAUUUUCCAGAGUUCAUUUAAUGUGAAGUCUUGCCGGAUGUCACUCCCUCUGGGACAUCUCAUCUUUUUCUUUGCAACCACUUCCUCAGUGAUGUUUGUUAAUCCGCCUUCACCAAAUCCCUCAGGAUGCAUCUCUGUCCUUCUGUGGGGCUGGGUCUGAGUGUGCUCUGCUUUCUAGUCUAAAAUGUGCCAGAGU
rnacentral:lncRNA from 1 species